rnacentral:rRNA from 1 species
GUGAGGAAUUUUCCGCAAUGGGCGAAAGCCUGACGGAGCAAUGCCGCGUGAAGGAUGAAGGCCUAUGGGUUGUAAACUUCUUUUCUCAGAAAAGAAUUAUGACGGUAUCUGAGGAAUAAGCAUCGGCUAACUCUGUGCCAGCAGCCGCGGUAAGACAGAGGAUGCAAGCGUUAUCCGGAAUGAUUGGGCGUAAAGCGUCUGUAGGUUGUUUAAAAAGUAUUCUGUCAAAGAUUAGGGCUUAACCCUAGAUAGGCAGAAUAAACUUUUAAGCUAGAGUUUGGUAGAGGCAGAGGGAAUUCCCGGUGGAGCAGUGAAAUGCGUAGAUAUCGGGAGGAACACCAAAGGCGAAGGCACUCUGCUGGGCCAAUACUAACACUGAGAGACGAAAGCGAGGGGAGCAAAUGGGAUUAGAUACCCCGGUAGUCC